UGGGGAAUAUUGGACAAUGGGCGCAAGCCUGAUCCAGCCAUGCCGCGUGAGUGAUGAAGGCCCUAGGGUUGUAAAGCUCUUUCACCGGUGAAGAUAAUGACGGUAACCGGAGAAGAAGCCCCGGCUAACUUCGUGCCAGCAGCCGCGGUAAUACGAAGGGGGCUAGCGUUGUUCGGAUUUACUGGGCGUAAAGCGCACGUAGGCGGACUUUUAAGUCAGGGGUGAAAUCCCGGGGCUCAACCCCGGAACUGCCUUUGAUACUGGAAGUCUUGAGUAUGGAAGAGGUAAGUGGAAUUGCGAGUGUAGAGGUGAAAUUCGUAGAUAUUCGCAGGAACACCAGUGGCGAAGGCGGCUUACUGGUCCAUUACUGACGCUGAGGUGCGAAAGCGUGGGGAGCAAACAGG
rnacentral:rRNA from 2 species